rnacentral:rRNA from 1 species
AUGUCCUUCAUAUCCUCGAAUCCCAGCAUCUUCGUCUCGGCACCAAUGCUGGAGAAGGUCUCAUGGCGCUGCUGCUAUACCGACGGCUCUAUUGUGUUUGGUUUUAAGUGGAUGGCAGAAAGAUCGCUGAUUUUUCAUGGUGAAGCGGAUACCAUUACUCAGGAUAUAGAAAAGCAUAUGAUUGCUGAGUUUUCUAUUUUGGAACUACAUCUCCGAACAAGUGGACAUAUGUUUGGAGCACUCGCGUUUCAUCUCCUAGGGAGUAAUCGAAUUUGUACUGCUAUGCAGAAGCUUAAGGUCAUCCUACAGAGAUCAGCGGUGAAAGAAAAAUGCUCACCAGAUUGUCCAUGUGAGUCCUCGGGCUGGAGAGUCCAAACUAUCUCCUUGACUGCUCUCGAAGAAGUGGAGAUCAACGGCUUUGAAGGAGACAAUCAUGAGUUUGAUUUCUUGAAACUGGUACUCAGAUGUGUGCCAAUGCUUAAAAGAAUGAUUGUGAAGCUGUCAGAUAAGGCCUCAGCAAGUAGCUGUAGACGAACAAAACUAUACAACAUCUUCAGGGCCAAUUCAUCUGUGGAAUUCUAUGUCUAUCUUAGCUCCGACUUCCAUGCCUAA